AUGUCAACUCAUCUGUUUAUUCAGAGGUUCAUCGAUGAUCUAGCUCUGAUUGAGACUCCAAGGAGACACACCCAAACAAGUUCAGUAAUUGCUCGCAGUGUCCGCCAUCCAUGGGUUCCUCCUCCGGCGGGGUUCUCAAAAAUAAAUGUUGAUGUUGCUGUUUCUUCCCACCAGGGGAGGGGUUCGGCUGCUGCUUUAUGCAGGGAUGAGAGGGGUCUGUUCUUGGGAGCAUCGGCAAUGGUCUAUCCUUUAACAGAUCCUCCAACGCUUGAAACAUUGGCAUGCAGGGAGGCUUUAUCUCUGGCUCUGGAUUUAGGUGAACACCAUCUUUUCAUUGCUUCGGACUGCCAGCCCGUGGUAAAAGAAAUUGAAGAAGAGUCUGGAGGAAAAAACGGAGCUAUUAUCAAAAAGAUUCGGGCUAGGAAAGGUGAGUUUGAGGCCUGCAGGUUCCGUUUUGAGAGUAGGAAGAGUAAUUUCGAGGCUCAUCUGCUAGCUAGAUAUGCUAUUUCCCUUGAUUUUGGUCGCCAUGUGUGGUUUGGCACCCCACAUGACCUUGUAACUAUCCCCCUGAACAUUCUGGGUUAA
rnacentral:rRNA from 1 species